rnacentral:lncRNA from 1 species
UUGGAGGUUUUAGAAAUGUUUGCUGUCCUAAAUGAGCACCUUGUGUCAGAAAUUUCCAUAGACGCAUCAUUCUGAGAUCAAAAAAUCCAGUUUACUUCUCCAUAGUUUGCAAGAAACCAUGUCACGCUUUGGAAUUUGAUGUUAAGAGGAGUUUUUCUACAAGACUUGAGCCUUUGGCUACUGCUUCUCUGAGGUUCCGACAUCCACAGUAUAAAAUGAUGUGCACUGAAGUGGCUGCUGCAUUUGGGAGACAGUGAAAGCUCUUUUCUUCAUAAAUUAUGACUAAGCUGACAGUGAAGGGACAGAGCAGGUUUGGAGAGGAAGGGCAGCACCAGCUCUGAGGAGAUGUCAGAAUUGUGACUGGAGCCAUCAAGAGCGUGGCAUUUGUGGAGUCAUCCCUGUCCACAGGUUUGCUAAAUGGGAACCAUUUAUCAGGCAAGUAGGCUGAAGUCUAUUUUAUAAUCCUG